rnacentral:rRNA from 1 species
UACGGAGGGGACUAGCGUUGUUCGGAAUUACUGGGCGUAAAGCGCACGUAGGCGGAUUUGUAAGUUAGAGGUGAAAGCCCGGAGCUCAACUCCGGAACUGCCUUUAAGACUGCAUCGCUUGAAUCCAGGAGAGGUGAGUGGAAUUCCGAGUGUAGAGGUGAAAUUCGUAGAUAUUCGGAAGAACACCAGUGGCGAAGGCGGCUCACUGGACUGGUAUUGACGCUGAGGUGCGAAAGCGUGGGGAGCAAACAGG